AGGCGGCGUGCUAUACAUGCAAGUCGAACGAACUCUGGUAUUGAUUGGUGCUUGCAUCAUGAUUUACAUUUGAGUGAGUGGCGAACUGGUGAGUAACACGUGGGAAACCUGCCCAGAAGCGGGGGAUAACACCUGGAAACAGAUGCUAAUACCGCAUAACAACUUGGACCGCAUGGUCCGAGUUUGAAAGAUGGCUUCGGCUAUCACUUUUGGAUGGUCCCGCGGCGUAUUAGCUAGAUGGUGGGGUAACGGCUCACCAUGGCAAUGAUACGUAGCCGACCUGAGAGGGUAAUCGGCCACAUUGGGACUGAGACACGGCCCAAACUCCUACGGGAGGCAGCAGUAGGGAAUCUUCCACAAUGGACGAAAGUCUGAUGGAGCAACGCCGCGUGAGUGAAGAAGGGUUUCGGCUCGUAAAACUCUGUUGUUAAAGAAGAACAUAUCUGAGAGUAACUGUUCAGGUAUUGACGGUAUUUAACCAGAAAGCCACGGCUAACUACGUGCCAGCAGCCGCGGUAAUACGUAGGUGGCAAGCGUUGUCCGGAUUUAUUGGGCGUAAAGCGAGCGCAGGCGGUUUUUUAAGUCUGAUGUGAAAGCCUUCGGCUCAACCGAAGAAGUGCAUCGGAAACUGGGAAACUUGAGUGCAGAAGAGGACAGUGGAACUCCAUGUGUAGCGGUGAAAUGCGUAGAUAUAUGGAAGAACACCAGUGGCGAAGGCGGCUGUCUGGUCUGUAACUGACGCUGAGGCUCGAAAGUAUGGGUAGCAAACAGGAUUAGAUACCCUGGUAGUCCAUACCGUAAACGAUGAAUGCUAAGUGUUGGAGGGUUUCCGCCCUUCAGUGCUGCAGCUAACGCAUUAAGCAUUCCGCCUGGGGAGUACGGCCGCAAGGCUGAAACUCAAAGGAAUUGACGGGGGCCCGCACAAGCGGUGGAGCAUGUGGUUUAAUUCGAAGCUACGCGAAGAACCUUACCAGGUCUUGACAUACUAUGCAAAUCUAAGAGAUUAGACGUUCCCUUCGGGGACAUGGAUACAGGUGGUGCAUGGUUGUCGUCAGCUCGUGUCGUGAGAUGUUGGGUUAAGUCCCGCAACGAGCGCAACCCUUAUUAUCAGUUGCCAGCAUUAAGUUGGGCACUCUGGUGAGACUGCCGGUGACAAACCGGAGGAAGGUGGGGAUGACGUCAAAUCAUCAUGCCCCUUAUGACCUGGGCUACACACGUGCUACAAUGGAUGGUACAACGAGUUGCGAACUCGCGAGAGUAAGCUAAUCUCUUAAAGCCAUUCUCAGUUCGGAUUGUAGGCUGCAACUCGCCUACAUGAAGUCGGAAUCGCUAGUAAUCGCGGAUCAGCAUGCCGCGGUGAAUACGUUCCCGGGCCUUGUACACACCGCCCGUCACACCAUGAGAGUUUGUAACACCCAAAGUCGGUGGGGUAACCUUUUAGGAACCAGCCGCCUAAGGUGGACAGAUGAUUAGGGUGAAGUCGUAACAAGAGCG
rnacentral:rRNA from 1 species